rnacentral:rRNA from 1 species
CCUACGGGAGGCAGCAGUAGGGAAUCUUUCACAAUGGGCGAAAGCCUGAUGGAGCAACGCCGCGUGCAGGAUGAAGGCCUUCGGGUUGUAAACUGCUUUUAUAAGCGAGAAAUAUGAUGGUAACUUAUGAAUAAGGAUCGGCUAACUACGUGCCAGCAGCCGCGGUCAUACGUAGGAUCCGAGCAUUAUCCGGAGUGACUGGGUGUAAAGAGUUGCGUAGGUGGCAUAAUAAGUAGCGAGUGAAAUCUGGUGGCUCAACCAUUCAGACUAUUAGCUAAACUGUUAAGCUCGAGACCGUUAGGGGUAACUGGAAUUUCUAGUGUAGGAGUGAAAUCCGUAGAUAUUAGAAGGAACACCAAUAGCGUAGGCAGGUUGCUGGGACGGUUCUGACACUAAGGCACGAAAGCGUAGGGAGCAAACGGGAUUAGAUACCCCUGUAGUC